GGGAAAGGAAAUUCGAAGAAGCGCUUGAUCUACUCCGUCGGAUGAAGAAACACAAUUAUCCACCUUUUCCAGAACCCUUUCUUCAAUAUAUUUCAAAGUCAGGAACAGUGGAAGAUGCAGUGGAGUUUUUAAAGGCGUUGAGCGUCAAGGACUAUCCAUCUGUUUCAGCCUAUCAACAUGUUUUCCAGUCCUUCUUUGCAGAAGGUAGACAUUCUGAGGCAAAAGAUCUGCUCUACAAGUGCCCAUAUCAUAUUCGGCAACACCCAGCAAUUU
rnacentral:misc_RNA from 1 species